UACGUAGGGUGCAAGCGUUGUCCGGAAUUAUUGGGCGUAAAGAGCUCGUAGGCGGUUUGUUGCGUCGGCUGUGAAAUCCCGAGGCUCAACCUCGGGUCUGCAGUCGAUACGAGCAAACUAGAGUGUUUGCAGGGGAGACUGGGAAUUCCUGGUGUAGCGGUGAAAUGACGCAGAUAUCAGGAGGAACACCGGUGGCGAAGGCGGGGUCUCUGGGCCGAA
rnacentral:rRNA from 1 species